rnacentral:tRNA from 1 species
CGGGGCGUAGCUUAGCUUGGUAGAGCGCCUGGUUUGGGACCAGGAGGUCGCAGGUUCAAAUCCUGUUUUCCCGACCA